rnacentral:misc_RNA from 1 species
UAAUAAGUGUUUUAUGGCACUUUUUAAAUCCAUAUCCACCUCGUGUGCAAUGUCAGUCGAUCUUCUUCAUGGAGAUCGACCAAACAUCAACCUUUAUCUUUUAACUCUUUGUCUGAAAAAUAUUACGAAUAAACAAUUCAAAAUA